GAUAAACGCUGGCGGCGCACAUAAGACAUGCAAGUCGAACGGACUUAACUCAUUCUUUUAGAUUGAGAGCGGUUAGUGGCGGACUGGUGAGUAACACGUAGCAACCUGCCUAUUAGGAGGGAAUAACAGUGAGAAAUCAUUGCUAAUACCGCAUAUGCUAACAGUAUCGCAUGAUACAGUUAGGAAAGGAGCAAUCCGCUAAUAGAUGGGCUUGCGUCUGAUUAGCUAGUUGGUGGGGUAACGGCCUACCAAGGCGACGAUCAGUAGCCGGACUGAGAGGUUGAACGGCCACAUUGGGACUGAGAUACGGCCCAG
rnacentral:rRNA from 1 species